rnacentral:rRNA from 1 species
UACGUAGGGUGCAAGCGUUAAUCGGAAUUAUUGGGCGUAAAGAGCUCGUAGGCGGUUUGUCGCGUCUGCCGUGAAAGUCCGGGGCUUAACCCCGGAUCUGCGGUGGGUACGGGCAGACUAGAGUGCAGUAGGGGAGACUGGAAUUCCUGGUGUAGCGGUGAAAUGCGCAGAUAUCAGGAGGAACACCGAUGGCGAAGGCAGGUCUCUGGGCUGUAACUGACGCUGAGGAGCGAAAGCAUGGGGAGCAAACAGG